GGUGGUUGCACGCCUCUGCAGGUGGAUUCAUAGGAUUCGCAAUGGACAGAUAACGGUUGAUGGCCAAGUUGUCACUGAUCCAGAUAUGAUUCUCAGGGAGGGUUCUAAGUUGGUAUAUCAUCGCCUCGCAUGGAAGGAGCCAUUUGCACCACAUUUGCUUCAAGUGCUUUAUGAAGAUGACUGA